rnacentral:rRNA from 1 species
GACGAACGCUGGCGGCGUGCUUAACACAUGCAAGUCGAACGCUGAGGCUCAGCUUUUGUUGGGUGGAUGAGUGGCGAACGGGUGAGUAACACGUGAGUAACCUGCCUCCUUCUUUGGGAUAACGCCCGGAAACGGGUGCUAAUACUGGAUAUUCACUGGUCUUCGCAUGGGGGUUGGUGGAAAGGGUUUUUCUGGUGGGGGAUGGGCUCGCGGCCUAUCAGCUUGUUGGUGGGGUGAUGGCCUACCAAGGCUUUGACGGGUAGCCGGCCUGAGAGGGUGACCGGUCACAUUGGGACUGAGAUACGGCCCAGACUCCUACGGGAGGCAGCAGUGGGGAAUAUUGCACAAUGGGCGCAAGCCUGAUGCAGCGACGCCGCGUGAGGGAUGGAGGCCUUCGGGUUGUGAACCUCUUUCGCUCAUGGUCAAGCCGCAACAAUGGUUGUGGUGAGGGUAGUGGGUAAAGAAGCGCCGGCUAACUACGUG